rnacentral:rRNA from 1 species
ACGGGAGGCAGCAGUGAGGAAUAUUGGUCAAUGGUCGGAAGACUGAACCAGCCAAGUCGCGUGCAGGAAGACGGUUCUAUGGAUUGUAAACUGCUUUUGUACGGGAAUAAAGUUCAGGACGUGUCCUGUUUGGAAUGUACCGUAAGAAUAAGGGUCGGCUAACUCCGUGCCAGCAGCCGCGGUAAUACGGAGGACCCGAGCGUUAUCCGGAUUUAUUGGGUUUAAAGGGUGCGCAGGCGGAGGAUUAAGUCAGCGGUGAAAUUCUCAUGCUCAACAUGAGAACUGCCAUUGAUACUGGUCCCCUUGAGAGAUGUCGAGGAUGGCGGAAUGUGAUGUGUAGCGGUGAAAUGCUUAGAUAUGCUGCAGAACUCCGAUUGCGAAGGCAGCUGUCCAGAGAUGUACUGACGCUGAGGCACGAAAGCAUGGGUAUCAAACAGGAUUAGAUACCCUGGUA